UUUUGGACAAUGGGGGAAACCCUGAACCAGCCAUCCCGCGUGUAUGAUGAAGGCCUUANGGUCAUNANGUACUUUUGGCAGAGAANCAAAGGUAUCUCCUAAUACGAGAUACUGCUGUCGGUAUACGCAGAAUAAGACCAGGCUAACCACGUGCCAGCACCCGCGGUAAUACGUAGGGUGCAAGCGUUAAUCGGAAUUACUGUGCGUAAAGAGUCUGUAGGCGGUUCGGAAAGAAAGAUGUGAAAUCCCAGGGCUCAACCUUAGAACUGCAUUUUUAACUGCCGGGCUAGAGUAUGUCAGAGGGGGGUAGAAUUCCACGUGUAGCAGUGAAAUGCGUAGAUAUGUGGAGGAAUACCGAUGGCGAAGGCAGCCCCCUGAGAUAAUACUGACGCUCAGACACGAAAGCGUGGGGAGCAAACAGG
rnacentral:rRNA from 1 species